UACGUAGGGCGCAAGCGUUGUCCGGAAUUAUUGGGCGUAAAGAGCUCGUAGGCGGUCUGUCACGUCUGCCGUGAAAACCCGAGGCUUAACCUCGUGGCUUGCGGUGGAUACGGGCAGACUAGAGGUAGGUAGGGGAGAACGGAAUUCCCGGUGUAGCGGUGAAAUGCGCAGAUAUCGGGAGGAACACCGGUGGCGAAGGCGGUUCUCUGGGCAGUAACUGACGCUGAGGAGCGAAAGCGUGGGGAGCGAACAGG
rnacentral:rRNA from 1 species